AAGAGAGAGAGAGAGAAAGAGCAUUUUACCUUUCCAAAAUAAAUUCUUCUGGGCUAUUUCAAACCCAAAAGAAAAUGCACUAUUGAUAUAGUGAUAGGCUAAGGCAGUACCGGUUCUACUCCGGUAUGGCUAUGAAUUAACAAAGUCCGUCGGGAAGAACAAUACUGCCUACCAAUACCUUGGAAAGGCCGGCACCCUCACCUUCAGUAAACUUCAU
rnacentral:lncRNA from 1 species